CGCGCGUUCACUCUCUGCCCGGAGCCGCCUGGCACCUGGGCGGCGCGCUCACCCUCAGCCCGGGGCCCCCAGGCACCCGGCCCGCACGCAAACCCUCAGCCCGGGGCCCCCUGACCCCCGCGUUCACCCCUCAGCCCGGCCGCCGGGCACUGCGCAUCCGCCACGUGGCAGCGCCUCCAGAGCCCAGACGCCCGGCGUUGGCACGUGGUGAGCGCUCAAUAAAUGUCUGUUGAACAAAUACGCGUGG
rnacentral:lncRNA from 1 species